AAUUGGCGUUAACAAUGAACAACACGCUGGUUUCUGCUGGCAAUGUAAAGCGGUACAGGUCUUCGAAUGUUAUUUGGGUGUCGGGUUCUUCUUCGGCCUCCUUAAGGGACGGAAGUUGAUUCUGGUGUCUAACUGCUGUGGAAUGCCGUCGAUAGUGCUUGUCUCCUAUCCUAUUUCCUGUCUGUCCGACUGGUAAUGGUAUGUAAAAAAUAAAAUGUUGCUAGCUGACAUCUAUAGGAGUGCAAGGUCUUAAUCUAAAGCUGAAAGUACGUCCGCAUUGCUGGCGCCAAAUUAAACACACAAAAAUAAGAUGUCAUCCGUGUACCACCAAUUUAUUAAACAAUUUUUUUAAACCUUUAUUUUUGAAGUUUGCUGUAUUAUAGUAGCGUAUUAGUUAUGGAAAAGAGAAAUUGGUAGAAGAUUCCUGGAACGUUGUUGGCUGAUCCACGCCCUACUGUUAGCGCCUGGCUGGUGAAAUUUCCUUUGUUGGGGACAGCGGAGGCGAAGCGGAAACUCCACAAUCUUUUUUCUUAGUUUUUCUUUUGGGUCUUUUCAGUAGCUUUGCUUUCCAAAUCCAAAAAUGAAGCCCAAACUGGAGAGCUAUAGCUUUUGUUGACCUUCACAAUGAACUUGGUCAUCCAGCCGUCACCAGCAAAAACACAUGUCGGCAGUCAUAGUUGCCAACCUGAAACUGGUCAGCUGGUUCAAAGACAUACAAUACGUAAAGAUACAGUAUUUAAAUUGCAUCUUUUGGAUGUCAGAUGUCCCUGCAAAUGUCGCUGGAGUCAUACAAGCCGCUAACAGAUGGCGCUGUAGUGCAACUAUUUGGCGCACACCUCAGCAUAUAAUCUUUACUGCCAUAUGCCAAGGGUUUCAGCAAGACAAUGACACACGCAUUGUUGUUUGGUUUGAAGAUAAGGACGCAAAUGUAUUGAAAUGGCCAACAAAAUCAAAAAUUUGUGAAAUAUAGGAAAAGAAGAUUGGAUUUCAAAAACCACGAAAUAAAAAUGAAUUAAACUUAAGAUGUUUCGUACAUUAUA